rnacentral:lncRNA from 1 species
GGGGGGAGUGGGGUUGGGGCUGGGGUAGCUCUGGUUCAAUAUGGGUAAGUGGACUGGUAAUAACCAAAAGUACUUAAUAAAUAAUCAAAGCAUAUAAUCCUUACAGAUCCUUACACAUUUUAGCAUAAAUUGAACACUUAAGUUAAAUAUAUUUAAGGAAUAUUGUAGAAGAUAUUUAACAGUUUAUAGUUAAAUAUGACGGUUUCCGC